CCUACGGGUGGCAGCAGUUGGGAAUAUUGCGCAAUGGAGGAAACUCUGACGCAGUGACGCCGCGUGCAGGAUGAAGGUUCUCGGAUUGUAAACCGCUUUAGAAAGGGACGAAAAAAGACCGUACCUGUAAAAUAAGCUCCGGCUAACGACGUACCAGCAGCCCCGGUAAGACGUAGGGAGCAAGCGUUAUUCGGAUUUAUUGUGGGUAACGGGUGCGUAGGUGGAGAAGCAAGAUAGUUGUGAAAUCCCUCGGCUUAACUGAGGAACUGCAACUAAAACUACUUGCCUUGAGUACUUGAGAGGAAAGUGGAAUUCCUAGUGUAGCGGUGAAAUGCGUAGAUAUGAGGAAGAACACCAGUGGCGAAGGCGACUUUCUGGACAGUAACUGACGUUGAGGCACGAAAGUGUGGGGAGCAAACAGGAUUAGAUACCCCUGUAGUC
rnacentral:rRNA from 1 species